UACGAAGGGGGCGAGCGUUGUUCGGAUUUACUGGGCGUAAAGGGCGCGCAGGCGGCUCUGCAAGUCAGAUGUGAAAGCCCCGGGCUUAACCUGGGAACUGCAUUUGGGACUGUGGGGCUAGAGAUCGGGAGAGGAGAGUGGAAUUCCCAGUGUAGAGGUGAAAUUCGUAGAUAUCAGGAGGAACACCAAUGGCGAAGGCAGCUCGCUGGGACGGUACUGACGCUGAGACGCGAAAGCGUGGGGAGCAAACAGG
rnacentral:rRNA from 1 species